rnacentral:lncRNA from 1 species
UCACCCAUUGUUAUCUUACCUUUAAUAUUGUUCUUAUUCAAUUCUACCAUCUUUCCUAUUACACCUACUUAUCUAUCUGGGUUAAGUUAGAGCGUAGAUCAGUUCUCCCGUUUCCCUGUGGAUACAAUAAAACCUUUAACCGAGUGAAAGCUACAACGGUAUCCGUGUGCUUGCGGAUUUAUCUGUGUGCGUAUAAAUACCAUAAUACACUCUAGUGCCAUGCUGGGGAUGACAACCUAGUAUUCAAGUGGUGUUAGCAAGUGUCAACAAGCUUUUUGGCGCCGUUACCGGGGAAACGGUUGCUGAGUUGACUACGAACUAGCUUAAUCAUUUUCUAAAAAAAUAAAAAAAUAAAUAUACUUUUCCUUUUAUCUUUUGCCUUAUCUCUGCUAUUGUUUCUUCUUAUCUAAUCCUUGAUUUCUAGUCUAUCAUGAAUGCAAACAUGUCUAUCAAUCAGUUUCAUUGACCUAUGAGCACACAUCUCGAACCACCAAAAUCUUCAAAGCCUAUCAUAGCAUCUAGUUUUGAGAUAGACCCCAAAUACAUAGAAUUUGUUCAAACACAACCUUUCUCAGGAGAAGGUGAGGAAAACCCAUACACACCUAAGAGAGUUUUAUCGAGUCUGUGACCUCCUUCGCAUAGAAGGCAUGUCCGAUGAGACCCUUAAAUGGAACCUCUUCCCGUUCUGUUUAACAGGAAAAGCUAGACAUUGGUACAAACUCAAAGUAGGGAGUGUUCA